ACUACGGGAGGCAGCAGUGGGGAAUAUUGGGCAAUGGAGGCAACUCUGACCCAGCAACGCCGCGUGAAUGAUGAAGGUCUUCGGAUUGUAAAGUUCUGUGAUGGGGGAUGAACACAAUGACGGUACCCCAAUAGCAAGCCACGGCUAACUACGUGCCAGCAGCCGCGGUAAUACGUAGGUGGCAAGCGUUAUCCGGAAUGACUGGGCGUAAAGGGUGCGUAGGGUGUUUAGUAAGUUGGCGGUGUAAUUCCGGGGCUCCACCUCGGCGCUACCGCCAAAACUAGUAUACUAGAGUGCAGGAGGGGUAAGUGGAAUUCCUAGUGGAGCGGUGGAAUGCGUAGAUAUUAGGAGGAACAUCAGGGGCGAAGGCGACUUACUGGACUGUAACUGACACUGAGGCACGAAAGCGUGGGGAGCAAACAGGAUUAGAGACCCUGGUAGUC
rnacentral:rRNA from 1 species